UCAAUUGUGAAUGUAUUUCACCAUUCAAUCAAAUCUUGAACAAUAUGCAAAAUUCAAUCAAUAAUUUUAUUUCUCCACUCAAUCAAUCUCAUUACAAGACAUAAGCUAUAUACAAUUGAUAGACAACCAAGCACCAGACAACAUUUUGUCCAUGCACACAUUCUGUCAAACACCUCCUACGUGACCACGAACCAAGCCACCAUGACUAGAGCACCCAGAGGCAUCACAACCACCAUGUAUUUGUAGGCAACACACACUAGGAAUCACACCUACCACGGGUCAGCGUGACUGGCAACCAAGAGCCAACGUUGGGAGGAGUGACCUGCUGCCACCGCUUGGCUGAGCCACCAUCGGGGUCCGGCACAAGCAGAGCAGCAAAAAGGGGCGGCGCAUACGAAACACGCACCAAUUGUCGGCGUGAGCAGAGAAGCACUAGCACGGGCAGAGCGUCAUCGUUGAUUGGAACCGGUGGAGGAGCAGAGGGACUAUGAAAAGAAAGAACGAAUCAUUUGGGUGGAGGACUCAUUUGUGAAAAGAACUUGACGUGCA
rnacentral:lncRNA from 7 species